GCAGCCGUUGCCGGGCCUCGGUGUGUGCGAAGUCGGGGCACUUCACAACUGUGCCCUGUUUAAACAGGAAAAGCAUGCACCAUUUUGUCCAGGAGGGAGGAGGAGGCAGCCUGAAGCCUCCCUCUUUGGUGCGGCCUCCAGGGGUGCAGACCAACAAAGAAGACAUUAAAACCUGCGACCAAAGAGGGAAGGAAAUGGCUCCCCUUGGUCUUCCCAGUCCUUCGGCUCCAAGGUGGUGGUUAGUGGUCCCAGAAAAGAGUUCACAGAGACGGUGUCUGGGCCCGGCGGCACCCUGCAGGAUGAUGCCACGCAGUACCGAAGGCGACUCGGGAAACCUCUUGCUCGCGAGACAGGGAACGCGGUGGGAUGGUGUGUAACUGUAGCGCUGCACAUCUGAGCCAGCACCACAUUGUGCCAUGCAGACAGAUGAACACGGCGAGGUGGGGACCACAGCGGGAGAGGAUAGGGCUAAUCGGAGGGACAGUGGCAGGACCUCGGGCUCCCGGCUCUGGCCGUCCCUUCCCUCUUCCGAAGGCUUCGGGUUAGUCAAGGCCUUCUCUAGGGAGGAGAAGGAUGGAUUUGAGCCCCUCGGUCAGUAAUUCCCACUGCCAGAGCGAAUCAAGAAACAGGCCUUGGGGCCGGAGAGACGGUUCAGUGGUUAGUAACACUUGCUGCUCUUCCAGAAGACUGGAGUUUGGCUGGCAAUCACCUCUAACUCCGCUUCCAAGGCAUCUGGCUCCCUCUUCUGGCCUCCGCCAGCACUUGCCUGCUUGUGGCCUUCACUCACAUGGACACAUACACUUGAGUAAAACAGGAGAAGAUGGCCCUACCUCAAGAAAAAAGGAAUGCAUCUGAAUUACCACCCAUCCACUCUUUCCUGAUCAGCAUGCACCUUCUGCGCACCAGUCCUGAGGUGGACAGAGUUUGUACUUACAUCUUCCCGAGUGAAGACCCUUCCCAACAUUCCUAGGGUGGUGGCCAUCACCAUCCCUACUAACAACACUGCCUGUAGCAGGAAAAGCUGCCGCUGGAUUUUGAGUCGCAGGUGAACGGGGAACUUUUUUCUCAAGACAAAAAUAAAUUGAACCUACAGCGUAGGAGAAAAGGGAGUGACCGGCGGGAUCAGUGUGCGCUGGUGAGCUUGGAGACUCUGGGAGAAGUCAUUAUGCAGCUAGCCUGGAGAGCUCUGAGCUAGAAGGCAGGAGAUGUAGCUGUUGUUUCUGUUUCUAAAACCUAAUUGCAUAACAAAAUCUAUCGCUUUGUACACUAAGUUAAAAAUGUUAAAGGUGGGGGGUGGGGGGCUGGAGAGAAGACUCAGUUAAGAGCACUGACUUCUUCCAGAGAACCGAGGUUUGAUUUC